CCGGCCUAAAUUUUUGACUGUCAUUAAAAUAUAUAAGAGUUUCAGAAAAGAUCCAACACGUGUUAUUAGGUGCACGAGAUCUGAGCAAGAAAAACAAACAAUGUGCUUAAGAGAUAAACAUUUUACUGCAAAUAUUUCGGACCCUCGUUAUAAAGAAAAAUGCCUGUUACCAGAAGAUACUAUAAAUGGUAAACAUACAUCCACUCCCCAGCUCUAUAUUUGGAUUAUGUAUACAAAAGUAAAUUCCUUGAAAAUAUUGCUGAAUACAGAAGCAAUGAAGGUUUUCGGGCAUUACAGUUUGUGCGGAACUAUGAGAAAAACCCAAAUAUUCUACUCUUAACAUACUAGAAGAUACGAUGUACAAAAACGCGGCUCAUGAUAACGAUAUGUAGCAAAGCUGUGCUUGGAAUUCCAGUUAGUUAGUAGCAACAAAAAGAACUUUUAAAAUGCAAAAAUAAAAUGCCUGAUGACAAUGCUAACAUAAUAUAUAAAUCAGAAUUUUAAAUUAUUUCCAUAUACCUUGGAAUCAAGAACUCGCAGCAUCGCAGCAACAUCAACAAGUUUUAGAUACUGUUAUUUAUGAACGUAUCAAAGAAUCAACGUCAAACUCAACAGAGCGCUUGAAUUAUUUUGAUUUAUUCGAUUUAAGAUUGUAUGACAAAAUAAGAUAAAUGACAGGUCAUUUUACAUCCCUAUAAGUAACACGUUUAUGUAAUAAAUUAUUACGUUAUGUAAUAAAGAAAAGGAAAAUAAUAAAAAAUAUCACAAAUGAA